AAAAACUUAGGAUUAACCAAACCAAGAGCCUUCAAAGCUCAAAAUAGGAGUGAAAGCCCCCUAGUUUUUG
rnacentral:tRNA from 3 species